UUUCAUCUUGGAGCCCUAAGGACGAGGAAAGGCCAAAUUGUUGCCCAAUAGAGGAUAAAUUCCCUCCGCCAGAAUCAUUUCCUGGUAGAGACACAGAAAUCUCUCGAGGCCAUAUUUUAACACAAAUCAUAAUUUGCAUACUCCCAAGAUGAGUGAGCAGGAGGUCACUUACACCACUGUGAGAUUUCAUAAGUCUCCAGGGUUGCAGAACCAAGUGAGGCCUGAGGAGACUCAAAGGCCCAGGAAAGCUGGCCACAGAGCUCACUCCGAAUGCAAGGUCAGAGAGUGUUCGGUCACCUGGAAGCCCAUUGUGAUAGUUCUCGGAAUCCUCUGUUCCCUUCUCCUGGUAACUGUGGCAGUAUUGUUGACACACAUUUUUCAGUCCAGACAAGAGAAACAUGAACAUGAGCAAAGGCUAAAUAACCUCGAUCAACUGUACCAUGUCAUGAAAAAUGACAGCUCCUUAAUGGAAGAAAGAUUAAGAAAUAAGUCUCUAGAGUUUGAGACUUGCAAAAAUACUCUGGACAAUCUCAACAGAGAACAGAACAGAUGCUACAGGGAAAGCAAGAUUGAUUUAAAAUGCUUUAAAUACAAAGGCAAACAAGUAGAAGGACACUGGUUCUGCUGUGGCAUGAAAUGCUAUUAUUUCAUCACUGACAAUGUACAGUGGAAUGGAUGUAAACAGAUCUGCCAGGCUUGCAGCUUAUCUCUUCUGAAGAUAGAUGAUGAGGAUGAAAUGAACUUCCUUAAGUCCCAACUUCAAGGAAAGAGAUACUGGAUUGGAUUGACAUAUAAUAAGAGCCCAAAGAAACAGCAAUGGAUUGGUGACCCACCUAAACUUGAUGUGGCUGGAGUGAAUUUAGGACAUGACAGAGGAAAUUGUGCAUUUCUAAGUUCAUUUCAAAUAGAUAAUGAAGACUGUGCUAAAACCUGUGGCUGUAUAUGUGAAAAGAGAUUGAAUAUAUUCCCUAUUUUAGUGACCUGUGUCAACCAAAGAAAGCAGCUUGAUCUGCAGAGUGAUGAAGGGGAAAGUGAGGAAAUGUAUCUGACUUAACAUAACAGAAGCCAUCGUCCUUUCUGGUAAAUAGAGAAGCUUGUGUCUGGAGAAUAUAUACCCUUUGCUCUAAGAUUCGAAGUAUCACUCUCUGUUUCUCGAAUUAUGCACAGAACCAAAUACAGAACUCUUACAAUCACACACAUUCUUCAUCAUCACUAGGAUAAUCCAUUUCAAUAUCCUGUUGCUCUGACAUCACACUUAAGAAAUAGGAUGCAGUUACUCUUUGUUGGUUGAUAACUUUUUAUGUUUAUGGAGGUAGAAGAAUUAACCUGAAAAUAUUUUUAUUUGCUGUAAAAUAUAAUUUUAGACUUGAUGAAUAGUUACCAGAGUAGUUCAAUGAACCCAUACAACCUAUCAUAGUUCAUGUGUUCUCAUUCUCUCUCUCUCUCUCUCUCUCUCUCUCUCUCUCUCUCUCUUUCUCUCUCUCUCUCUCUCUCUCUCUCUCAUCAAACUGAUGCAUUUGGUAAUAAACAGAAACCCCAUAUUUGCAGUAAUAUUUAUUUAGGCCACCUGAAUGCAAUGGUUCAGACUUAUAAUUUUAUAGGUACAUAAGUUUGAAGACAGUCUUGUCUACAUAAUAUGUUUGUGGCAAUUGUGGGCCUUAGUGUGGUAUUCUGUGUCAUGAAAUCUGAUUAUGAGGAUGAUGAUGAUAUAAUAAUAUUAAACUGUCCAUAAAUAUUUUCUAAAAGCAAGCAAUUUCUUUUAUAGCAUCAUAUUGAAUAGUAAAAUUCAAGGAAUGUGGUAUUUUUGUAAUAAUAUGAUCUAAUUUAUAAUCCAUAUUCAUAUUUGUCAGCUUUCUGAUGUCAUGUUAAUAUUUACUCAUGUUUAAGAUUAUGCCAUGCAUUCACCUGUGGUGUUCUUUAGUUCUGAAAAUGUUAUUGACUUUUGACAUUUUUCUGAUAUUAAAAAAUUAAAAUCUU
rnacentral:lncRNA from 1 species